CGGGCAGUAGCUCAGUGGUAGAGCUCCCGCUUCAUAUGCGGGAAGACCUGGGUUCAAUUCCCGGCUGCUUAC
rnacentral:tRNA from 1 species